UAUUGCUGCCUUUCCGUAGUGAAUCCUGGUCCUGUAGACAACUAUCACCUAGGACAGGGGUGGGGAAGCCCCCCACCCCACCCGCAGGCUGAUAUGUUCGCAACGUCACUUUGAAAGGAUAUGAUCAUAAAGAGACUACAGUACCAGGAAAUAGUGGAGUUUCGUGGUCGCUUAAGGAAUGCAAUAGCAGCCCCUAUGAGUUCGACAAAUGAAGACAGAAAUGAAAGUGAAGAAGCUCAUUCAAUGAAUAAAUAAAAGUAUUCUAUAUAGGUGAUUGGUUGUUAAAUGCAGAUAAUUUAUGUAAUAAAUACCUAACGACUAA